GUGGGGAAUAUUGCACAAUGGGGGAAACCCUGAUGCAGCGACGCCGCGUGAGCGAAGAAGUAUUUCGGUAUGUAAAGCUCUAUCAGCAGGGAAGAUAAUGACGGUACCUGACUAAGAAGCCCCGGCUAACUACGUGCCAGCAGCCGCGGUAAUACGUAGGGGGCAAGCGUUAUCCGGAUUUACUGGGUGUAAAGGGAGCGUAGACGGCUGUGCAAGUCUGAAGUGAAAGGCAUGGGCUCAACCUGUGGACUGCUUUGGAAACUGUGCAGCUAGAGUGUCGGAGAGGUAAGUGGAAUUCCUAGUGUAGCGGUGAAAUGCGUAGAUAUUAGGAGGAACACCAGUGGCGAAGGCGGCUUACUGGACGAUGACUGACGUUGAGGCUCGAAAGCGUGGGGAGCAAACAGGAUUAGAUACCCCGGUAGUCC
rnacentral:rRNA from 1 species